rnacentral:rRNA from 1 species
AGUGAACGCUGGCGGUAGGCCUGACACAUGCAAGUCGAACGGCAGCACAGGAGAGCUUGCUCUCUGGGUGGCGAGUGGCGGACGGGUGAGGAAUACAUCGGAAUCUACCUUUUCGUGGGGGAUAACGUAGGGAAACUUACGCUAAUACCGCAUACGACCUACGGGUGAAAGUGGGGGACCGCAAGGCCUCACGCGAUUAGAUGAGCCGAUGUCCGAUUAGCUAGUGGGCGGGGUAAUGGCCCACCAAGGCGACGAUCGGUAGCUGGUCUGGGGGGAGGAUCAGCCACGCUGGAACUGAUACACGGUCCAGACUCCUACGGGAGGCAGCAGUGGGGAAUAUUGGACAAUGGGCGCAAGCCUGAUCCAGCCAUACCGCGUGGGUGAAGAAGGCCUUCGGGUUGUAAAGCCCUUUUGUUGGGAAAGAAAUCCUGUCGAUUAAUACUCGGUGGGGAUGACGGUACCCAAAGAAUAAGCACCGGCUAACUUCGUGCCAGCCGCCGCAGUAAGAC